rnacentral:lncRNA from 1 species
ACUGUGAGCCCGGGCACAAAGAGCCCUCUGCACUGGCGCCGCAGGACCGAGGACCAGGACCCGAGGGUCACAGUUCCCAGGAUAGCGGUCAAGUCAGAGCUAUAGCCACUGGCCACAGCUACAGCAAGAAGGGAUCCGAGCAGUCUCUGCGACCUACAGCACAGCUCACAGAAUCCUUAACCCACUGAAUGAGGCCGGAGAUGGAACCCAUGUCCUCAUGGAUCCUAGUCGGCUUUGUUACCACUGAGCCACAAUGGGAACUCUGUCAGGCGGCAUGAAUUUGAGUCUUAGUUCUGUCACUUACCACUUCUGGGAUCUUGGGCAUGUCAUUCUGAACUUCUGUUUCCUCAUCUGCAAAAUGGGAAUGAUAAUACCAGCUUGCUGAGCCAUUGUGAGGACCACUAAGGCAGAUGCACUUAGCAAACCCUGUAAAAAGCCCCAGUGCCUUGCCCAGUUCCUGGAGAAGAAUGGAUAUUAAGGAAAUCAAGGUCAAAUGGUGAAGGAGUCUUUGUGGUCUUGAAGUCAGGGCCUGGGCACAUCACAGCAGUGACCUUGGGCAAGUCUCUUCCUUCUCGGAGCCCAUUUCUUGGUCUGUCAACUGGUGGUCUGCACUGGGACCCACAGAGAGGAUUUAGCGGCUGAUGGCUUCAAAGCCCUCUGUUAACCAAAGCUGUUUGCAAAAGCCCUAGGAGAAAUACCACCUCCCCCAACCUCCUCCCACAGAGAUCAGUGGUUCAGACCCUGGUGGGUGAACCCAAUGCUGGGUGGGUCCCCAGAUGCAAGGCUGUACCCCUCAUGUCUCCUCCUUCGCCAACAUCUGAGGUGAGGUGCUUGAUAAACAGUAGCACUGGCUACUGGGGAGCAUGGUCACAAAUUUGAACAUCCCAGAUGUAAUUCCUGAGUCUGGUCACCUGUGUCUUGCAGGCGGGAGGAAGGUGGACAGAUUUAGUGGUGGGAUGUGUGCCAGCUGCUUGGGAUCCUGUCAUCUUGCUUUAUGGGUGGGAGGUAUGAGGCCUGGUCCCAUGCAUCCAGCGCCUUUCUCCCCACUGUGCUUCAGAUGAGUUCCCCCCUUGGACCCCCAACUAAUUUAUCUUUAUUGUUUUUGUUUCUUAAUUAGAACAGAAUGCAAGAUUAUUAUUAAAAAAAUUUUUCCGGC